rnacentral:rRNA from 1 species
AGAGUUUGAUCCUGGUUCAGGAUGCACGCUGGCGGCGUGCUUAACACAUGCAAGUCGAACGAGGUCCAACCUUCGGGUGAAGACCGAGUGGCGAACGGGUGGGUAACACGUGGGGAACCUGCCCUUCUCUCUGGGAUAACGUCGAGAAAUCGGUGCUAAUACCGGAUACUCCUUGCGGAUCGCAUGGUCUGCUCGGGAAAGCUCCGGCGGAGAUGGAUGGCCCCGCGGCCCAUUAGCUAGUUGGUGAGGUAACGGCCCACCAAGGCGACGAUGGGUAGCCGAGCUGAGAGGCUGAUCGGCCACACUGGGACUGCGACACGGCCCAGACUCCUACGGGAGGCAGCAGUGGGGAAUUUUGCACAAUGGGCGAAAGCCUGAUGCAGCAACGCCGCGUGCGGGAUGAAGGCCCUCGGGUCGUAAACCGCUUUCAGCAGGGAUGAAAAUGACAGUACCUGCAGAAGAAGCCCCGGCUAAAUACGUGCCA